UACGGAGGGCGCAAGCGUUGUUCGGAAUCACUGGGCGUAAAGCGCGUGUAGGCGGCUUGGCAAGUCGGGGGUGAAAGCCCGGGGCCUAACCCCGGAACUGCAUUCGAAACUGCCUCGCUCGAGUCCCGGAGAGGAUGGUGGAAUUCCCGGUGUAGUGGUGAAAUACGUAGAUAUCGGGAGGAACACCAGCGGCGAAGGCGGCCAUCUGGACGGUGACUGACGCUGAGACGCGAACGCGUGGGGAGCAAACACG
rnacentral:rRNA from 1 species